UACAGAGGGGGCCAGCGUUAUUCGGAAUUACUGGGCGUAAAGCGUGCGCAGGCGGUGCGCCAAGCUCGAUGUGAAAGCCCCGGGCUUAACCUGGGAAUUGCAUUGAGGACUGGCGUGCUCGAGUGCGGCAGAGGGGGGUGGAAUUCCACGUGUAGCAGUGAAAUGCGUAGAGAUGUGGAGGAACACCGAUGGCGAAGGCAGCCCCCUGGGCCGACACUGACGCUCAUGCACGAAAGCGUGGGGAGCAAACAGG
rnacentral:rRNA from 1 species